UAACGGACUGACCCAGAUUCAAUUCCUGGGCAGGGAACUAAGAUCUCUCUUUAGGACCAUUCACCGCUGUCUCUCUGAAGUCAAAAUCACCAGUUUAGAUGGGUACUAAGAUAUUUCAGGUGACUUUGGGUUUGGGAGAAGACCCAGAAAGAGCCGUGGGAAGUACAGGAAGUGGGAACUGCUCCUGCUUACCUGCCCAGCUAUGAUAUCCUGCUACGUUUGAGACCGAAAUCGCUCAGCAGCCACACGUUUCAGGUUGAGGUAACUCUCCACUACCUUAAAGGUCAGGACAGCCGCUGUGCUGACAGAGGCUCCCUCCCCCUGGCAGUCUACCCCACAGCUCUUGAGUCAUCACGUCUGGAUGACUAGGCUGACAAAAACAAGGUUUCAGGGGCUGAGUCGAAUUGGUGGGAAGCAGGGUGGUAGGGCAGAGCGGUGGAGCAGGAAGAGCACUGCCCUUGGAGUCCAAGGAUCUGGGUUCCAGCCCCUGCCCCGUGAACUUGGGUGGGCCUGCCACGUUGAUCUCUUUGGCUGUCGGAUGCAACUAGAUAAUGCGAGACAUGCUGCAUGAACUUCCCAGGAAGUGGAAGGUGCUCAGUGAGAUGGAUUGUGCAGGACUCACACUGAGGCAGAAGUCUUGGCCCUAGACCAGGAUACGAUCCUCCUGGUUCACCUCGUCUUACGGAGACCAGGUUGGUCCCUAGAUCUGUAGAGAUUUGCAUCCCUAACCAUUCAUUUAUUCAACAGAUGUUUCCACAGAGCUAUGCUGAAGCCCGACAAGGCACCAGCUUGCAUCUAGAGGUUACUUCUCCUUAUCCUGGAAACACAAAUGGUUGGCUGCCAGAGGUGGCAGCACCAACACAGGACUGCUGUCCCCAUCUCAUAGCCUGGGACUUGAGAAAUUCCCUUGCGGGCACUCAAGCUUGGUGAACAGCUCCAGCUUCGGAGGCAACAAGGGCAAGUUU